GAUUUUAAGCUCCUUGCAAGGAAAAUUAAAAUAUUUAUAUCUUCUACAUCCUUUCUCCAGAAAAUAAAGAAGACACUAGAAGAAAAAACCUUCAAAAGAGAAAUAUCUUAGAGAACUGCUAGAGUGGCCAAGACUGGGUCCAUGGAAGAAAAGGGUAUAUACCAACUAUCUCAGAAAAAAAGAGGUUUAAGAAUGAUUACCUUCUAAACUCAAGAUUCAAAUUUUAACAAAAAGUAAAGAGAAGAACAAGUGAGAAAGCUAGUAGCAAUGCAAGCAUGCUUGAGGACAUAGAAAAUUCAUGGAAAUCUGCAACAUGAAAAAAAUCAGAGAAAUCGUCAAAUCGGUAUCAGAAAAAGGUUAUGGGAAAAGCCAAACAUUGGUUGAAUUUGAGCUGACUGGAGGAUGCAAACUACAGCCGCAGGUCCAGGCAGAUAAGAAAAGUGAAGCCCAGAGAUGUCUUUCUCCAGCAUUAGGCUUUUCUGUAGUCAUUCAUUUUGGUAUGUAUGUGGGAAGGGAGUUUAAUUAAUGACAUCUUUCUUACAUAACCUUUUUUUUUUUUAAAGGCUUUGGAUUGUACUUGUGUGAUCAUGUCUUUUUCUUUCUUUCUUUCUUUCUUUCUUUCUUUCUUUCUUUUUUUUUUUUUGAAACAGGGUCUCACUCUGUCACCCAGGCUGGAGUGCCGUGGUAUGAUCACAGCUCACUGCAGCCUUGAACUCUCAGGUGAGGACUACAGGCACACCACCAUGCCUGGCUAAUUUUUGUAUUUUUAGUAGAGACAGGGUUUUGCCAUAUUGCCCAGGCUGGUCUUCAACUCCUAAGCUCAAGCCACCUGCCGGCCUCAGCUU
rnacentral:lncRNA from 1 species